CUGAUAAGCCCCACAACAACCAACAGUGGUGCAAGAAGAUUAUUCGGUUGAGUGAACUUGUGAGGAGCAUACCACUGAAGAAAGCAGGCCUAACACUGUUGUUCUGAAAGCUAUCCAUUCUAUGUCCAUUCAACGUGAGAUCCUCAAAUUUGGUUGAUUUAGGCUCAUGCAGCAUCCAUCAUCAACAAUGGCCAACUCUCCUACCAAUGGGAUGGUAGUGCUCACCCAUCUGUACCCACAACAAGGUAUUGAAAAUGACCUUUCACACCACACUGGAGUUAUUCAACCAGCUUCCUCUCAGCUCAGAGGGUUCCUAAAGAGAGAGCCAGCUGUCCUAGGAGUCUCCCAACCUGCACAGUGAAACCCCUUCAGAUGAUCCAGAACGUGAUGGCGUGCCUACAGUUCAAAUAAUGACAGGCAUGGUCAUAUUCUUGCUCGGCAUUGUAUCUGCAUUUGUUGGGACAUUAUCCACUUACUUUGGUAUCAUGUUCUGGGGAGCCAUUAUUCAUUUUGUCAUAGCCGCCUCUAAAAGGAUAUGCACUGCAGUAAACAGAACAUCCUUUCUUUCAGUACAUCACAGCUGGUUCACUCACUGUGAGAGCUUCUAAAGAGCUUAAUCAGUGUUUGGUCAACGCAUCACUGGGGAUGAAUAUUGCCAGCACAAUAACUGCAGGACUGGCCAUAAUUCUACACAGCUUUGAUUUCAUUGUCCCAAUGUACCCGAAUUACAGCUGCAGUAAUCAUUAUGAUGAUUAUAGUUGUCUGAGGAACAAAAAAAUGUUCUUGAGCAGGGUAUGGGGGAUGACUGGUGUGUUGCUAGUGUUGUCUGUUCUGGAGUUUAUAGUCUCCUUAUCUGUAUCAGCAUUUGCUUGCGAAGCUACCUGUUCUUCUAACAUUGGACAGGUGAUAUAUAUUUCAAGCCAAGUGCCACCCUCUAUUCCCACUUCCCACCUGCCAACACCUCCAGUAAACACCUCUGAGACACCUAUCUGUCCAGCCAGUGUGGGGCUUCCUGCUCACCUCAGCAGAGCUGACGACUGGGGGAUUGGCAAACCUGAAGAUCCUCCCCCAGAAUACACAGCUACUCAAGACUGAGUCAGACAACAUGUAACAGGAAAGAAUGUGUUUAUCAUGCAAAUAUUAACCUUUCAACUAAAUCUAUCAAUGAAUUAGUAUGCAUGUAUGUAUGCUGUGCAUGAAUGUGAGUUUUCAUACUGAUAGUCUACCCUUAAAGGCGCAGUCGUCGAUCGUACGAGAUUUCAAGCCCAACUAGCGUGCUCCCUGAAAUUAAUGCAAGUAGAUGGCAUUGAAGAAAGCAUGACAAUACAAGAUGUAUUAUUAUAUCAGAAAUGUAUUAGCAAUUGACAUCAAUAUACAUAAGGCAACACAGCACUGGUAAAUCCCAAGAUGUAUUUUUCUCCUUUUUAAAGCAUGAAAAGCUCAUGAAUCACUACCACCUCCUCUUGGAGUUGCUAAUUCUUGUUUUGAGCUUCAAAUUCAAUUCUAUUUACAUUUAUUGAUAUACCAGACUCUUUUAUUCAAAGCAAUCUACAGAACAUAUAGGCAUGCAUUUUCAUCUGUAGCCUGUUUGCCCUUCUAUUCAAUUAUCUUGCUGCUGUUGUUAGCACCCUCACCUUCACCAGUUGCUCUACCAGACGAGUGGAUGUAUGUAAAAUUAGUAUAUAUUUUUGCAAAACUUUAUAUCGCUGAAAUAUUUUGGUACAAAUACUGCAGUAUAACACCUGUUGCAUGAUCAUUACAUGUCAUACAAAUAGUAAUUUCCAUGUCUCUUCUCAGGAUAAUAUUAUGGAUAAUAUAAUUUCUAUUUAUAAGACUGAUGACACAGACUACCUGUGUAUGUUUCAAUAGUGUAGUUUUACCUGAAAACAUCUGAGGUACAUGACUUGAAAAUGUCAGCAUUAGGAAAUACGACAAUAAACAGUAAUUUGCAAUGGAAUCUCAUAAUUCUGAUGAAAUUCCAUCUUCCUCAAAAUCUAAUACAGAAAUUUUAAAUGUGGUCUUUCUGAGACGUUUCUUUCCUUUGCAUUUUGCUUUUUUCAUUAAAGUUGAGAGACUUUGAGAGAAAUAGGCUGUUAUCUAAUGUGCAAAGACGGUUAGGAACACAAAUUGACCCAGUCAGGCCUUACUAUCUGGCUCCCUGUUAUCAAUGGACUGCAGCUGCUGGGGGAGUGAGGCCUAAACCAUGGCUUUUUUGAUAAGGACAUUUCCGAUUCAAAGUGUGGUUGCUUAUAAAAGUUGUGGACAGCACAAAUCCACUCCAUCCAUUAGGUUGAAGGAUAAGGUUUGAACCAAAACAUGAAAGCCCCAAACAGGCACAAGGACAAUUUCUGUCUUUUAGGCACUGGGGAAACUGGACAGGAAAUAACAGCAACUGAGAAUAGGUCUCAAAGCAGCUUUUAUUGACUUCAAAUGCCAUUCAUGAAGGCUUUGGGCUCUAUUUUGACGAUUAGAAACGAGGCGCAAACCUUAUUCGUAUCUUACACUUAGUCAGUGAUGAAUUUUGCGCCAUGCACCUCACUUUUAUUAAGCCUUGUGCCCAGGGGUGUGGCAGAAGGUGUGGUCUGGCGCAUGAUCCAAGAAUCACUAUCUUACACCCUCUAAAAAUCAUUAUGCCACUGACCAAGAAAAACCUGGUCUAUAGAGAAAGGCACAUGUAAAGCACAGCUGAAGACACACUGUCACAAGAUGUAAGCAGCUCUUAGCAAGCAGUCCCAAAUAACUUAACUGCAGGAUAAAUAGCCUUAAGAUUUUUAUUCAGUUUAUUCCAACAUUAUUGGGGUAAGUGUUGCUUUUUUCAUGUUUUCGAUGAUAACCCCUUGUCAGUCAAUAGUGAAAGUAAUUAAAGCUGAUGUCGGCAAGUCUGGCAGAUUGAGGGGCCAAAAUGAAUGUUUUCAACUCUCACGCCCCUCCCCCACUACCACCAAGCACCCUCCCAUCGAGUUUGUGCGAUAUUAUAACAUGCGCGAGGGGGGAUGGGGGGAUCUGUGGUGUGUGCACGAACUGUGAUUGACAGUCAGAUCUCACACAUCCCUGCACUGAUUGGACCAGAAGAACUGGGAGCUGUAUAUUUUUGCAAAACAAAUAACAGGCUCUAGGUGGAGGUAGAAGUGUUUUCUUUCAUUAUACACAGAUACACCUAUCUCAAAGAAGUUUGGAGAUAGGUGGAAUUGAGCAACUGAUGUUUCAGCAUUGAGGACAGUCAUGCCUUUUGACAUGAACCCUGCAAAAUUUUGCCUUGAUUACCGGUGGCUGUUUCCCCAGAAAAUUUCUAGUGGUCUUAAGAAAAAUGGUAGUCAUUGUGUCAUUAGAUAUGAAAGAUGCCUGAACCAGAGUUAAUUUCAGAUGAGUGGGAGAGAUAAUAGGAUAUAACCUAAUAGGCUCAAAAGCAUAGAUCUAAAUAAAGCAAACCUUUGCACCACAUUUUAAUAGACCAGGUCUUUAUUAGGUUUUUUUAUGGCGUGGUUAAACUGGUCCAAUAUUUACAUAGCGUAACUCUGAAAACAAAUGGGUUAGACUUUCUUAUGAUCUAUGUCAGUACAUCAAAAAUACAAAUCACAAUAAAUAGCCAAGUAACAAGUCUAUUAAAACUAAAUCAAACAAAUAUCCAGCACUCAGUAAAGGUGUUUUUUUUCACUAUGUUCAAUAACCUAACUGCAUUUUGAAUUGGAGAUCUGAAGAUUAUCUUUAUAAUUCAGAGCCAAAGUUGCCCUUAACUAGAAAUGGGAAAGUCAUCAUGAACACACAAGUCCUAAUCAGAACUGAAAUGUGUUACGUUUUUAAUAAUAAAAAAAUAAUAAUAACGACUUAUAAUUGCACAGUGUUUUCCAAACUACAGUGCUAAAUCUAUUAUUGCAUAAUUGUGUACAUAAUCUGUUUAAUUGUUACAGGGUAAGGUGAAUGGGAGCUUGAGUUUAUCAGCUGUAGUUAGAAGUAAUCACUACCAUGGACACUUGCCUGAAGUGGGCCUAUUAAAAUCUGGUCACCAUGCUGCUCUAUUGCAGUGGAGCUGAACAGUUGACUCUGUUUACAGUAUGUUUCUAGACAGGUAUUUUGUACCAACAGAGAUUACAACCUUUACCGUCUUUCAAGCAGGAUGAACUAGGUGAUUUUAUAAUCAUUAGAUUAGAGUCGAUACUGAAAAGUUCACCUUACAUAUUUUCUAUUAGCCUAGGACACAUAUAGGACAUACAAAAUGAACCAGCAGUUAGGCCUUCUUCUCAUAAGAGGGAAAUAUUUAAGAUUACAAAAAUAGCUGAUGUAUGCAAAUGAGAGUUGUUAUUAAUACAGAUGUACAAAAAUAUUAUUCCAUUGUGUACAAGCACAAUUAGAUUCUUUACUGUUGAUGAUUACCGUUGAUACUCAAUUGGACACUGUAGGUAUGUUUUCAACCUUACCUCUCUAUCGUCCAUGCAUUACUAUCACUUCUGUGUGUCUCCUUACAUCAGCAACAUAACAGAAAAUCUGUUGUCUGUUAUCUCCACAGACUUACAAGAAAAUCAUAUCAGCAAUACGCACAUGCACAUAGCAUACCAGCAAAUGUUAAAUUCUGAAGGGUAAUAUUUUUUAUAUAUUUUUAUACAUUUUUAUAUGACACAUUCACUCUGUUCUAAAAAGUUUGUGAUUUAAAGCUAUGGUUUAUGAUUAAUUUAGAAGAAAAGUUUUUUGAAGACACUUUUUUUCCCUACAUCUUUUCUUUGCAAUCCACCAGGGGGCAGUCUCCUAUCAGUGUCAUGUGCAGGAGUAGAUUGUGUUUGGUCAAAUCCCUCAUAAAUCACCCUUUUACUGACACAUGACAUACUGACAACUUAAAAGGAAUACUGCCACAUCAUAGUCAUCCUUUUCUACAUUCUUGUUUACCUGCACGGGUGCUCAUUGAAUAAUGCAAGAUCUUUUCAUGGCUCACUUGGAAAAAAGACUUCUGUCUCAAUGUGACUAUCCUGGUUAAAAUAAGGAUAAAUACAAAUACAUAAAAUCUUCACUAAUCAUGAACCCCUGUCUAGCUUUUGCUGGCUACAAGGUCAUCUUAAGACAGAAGAGUUUUAUUUAUUAAAUUCUGUAUGAAUGUCAAGCCUAGUAGUACAAACUAAAGUUUGUAUUAGAAUAAAGAAUGGACUACAGGAACUACAGGUCUCUGUGAACUUCAAUAGUUUAUGAGAAAAAAAGUAUGUGUAAAGAUAUUUUAAUUUCAUUCUUCAAUGUUUAUACUUACAAAUGACAGUUAAGUUGCACAUGAUUGUUUACUUUAGAGUCAGUCGGUUUUCUGUUUUCUAGUUCUAAGUACAGAAAAACACAACCAUUUUAGGGCAUUGAGUAAUUAAUAGCUCACUAAAUACAGCAGACAGAGAUUAUGUUGAAAAUAUUAAUAUUCUUUAAUUACUCAUAGGUAGACAUGUUUUAACAACAGCAAUAUGAUCAACCACACUGUAAGCUCAGAAAGACAUUUUGUUGUAAAUUGGCUUCAAAUGUUUCUGUGUAGGAAAAAUAUUUAAAGCCUUCUGGUCACAUUUCAUCAUGAUUGUUCCAAGAUUCAAAAAAAGUCAUCAAAUGAAUACUAAGUGAAAGAUGGUCUUCAAUCAAACUUGGUUCCACUUCAUUUCCCACAAAAAGCAACAUUCUUGUUUAUGAAUUAUGGCUAUCGUGUGGCAUGUGGGAGUAUUGAGCUAACUCAUCAAUGUUUGCAUUUAAAGUCCAUCAUGUUAAAUUAUCAAACUGAUUUUGCUUAGUUAGUAGAUUAGCUUUAAGACGUUGCACUUUGUAUAACUGAAAUGAAUUAUGGCCCAAAAUGUAAUUUGAUAAACAAUAUUCAGAUGAUUUGUAAAUUCUCUAAAAUGACGAUCCAAAUAAAGGUAACCCCAUUGCUUAA